GACGAACGCUGUCGGCGUGCUUAACACAUGCAAGUCGAACGGAAAGGCCCUGCUUUUGUGGGGUGCUCGAGUGGCGAACGGGUGAGUAACACGUGAGUAACCUGCCCUUGACUUUGGGAUAACUUCAGGAAACUGGGGCUAAUACCGGAUAGGAGCUCCUGCUGCAUGGUGGGGGUUGGAAAGUUUCGGCGGUUGGGGAUGGACUCGCGGCUUAUCAGCUUGUUGGUGGGGUAGUGGCUUACCAAGGCUUUGACGGGUAGCCGGCCUGAGAGGGUGACCGGCCACAUUGGGACUGAGAUACGGCCCAGACUCCUACGGGAGGCAGCAGUGGGGAAUAUUGCACAAUGGGCGGAAGCCUGAUGCAGCAACGCCGCGUGCGGGAUGACGGCCUUCGGGUUGUAAACCGCUUUCGCCUGUGACGAAGCGUGAGUGACGGUAAUGGGUAAAGAAGCACCGGCUAACUACGUGCCAGCAGCCGCGGUGAUACGUAGGGUGCGAGCGUUGUCCGGAUUUAUUGGGCGUAAAGGGCUCGUAGGUGGUUGAUCGCGUCGGAAGUGUAAUCUUGGGGCUUAACCCUGAGCGUGCUUUCGAUACGGGUUGACUUGAGGAAGGUAGGGGAGAAUGGAAUUCCUGGUGGAGCGGUGGAAUGCGCAGAUAUCAGGAGGAACACCAGUGGCGAAGGCGGUUCUCUGGGCCUUUCCUGACGCUGAGGAGCGAAAGCGUGGGGAGCGAACAGGCUUAGAUACCCUGGUAGUCCACGCUGUAAACGGUGGGUACUAGGUGUGGGGUCCAUUCCACGGGUUCCGUGCCGUAGCUAACGCUUUAAGUACCCCGCCUGGGGAGUACGGCCGCAAGGCUAAAACUCAAAGGAAUUGACGGGGCCCCGCACAAGCGGCGGAGCAUGCGGAUUAAUUCGAUGCAACGCGUAGAACCUUACCUGGGUUUGACAUGGAUCGGGAGUGCUCAGAGAUGGGUGUGCCUCUUUUGGGGUCGGUUCACAGGUGGUGCAUGGCUGUCGUCAGCUCGUGUCGUGAGAUGUUGGGUUAAGUCCCGCAACGAGCGCAACCCUUGUUCACUGUUGCCAGCACGUUAUGGUGGGGACUCAGUGGAGACCGCCGGGGUCAACUCGGAGGAAGGUGGGGAUGACGUCAAGUCAUCAUGCCCCUUAUGUCCAGGGCUUCACGCAUGCUACAAUGGCUGGUACAGAGAGUGGCGAGCCUGUGAGGGUGAGCGAAUCCCGGAAAGCCGGUCUCAGUUCGGAUUGGGGUCUGCAACUCGACCUCAUGAAGUCGGAGUCGCUAGUAAUCGCAGAUCAGCAACGCUGCGGUGAAUACGUUCCCGGG
rnacentral:rRNA from 1 species